rfam:Dipodomys ordii contig_26987, whole genome shotgun sequence.
GGGAAGGUGGCUCAGUGGUAGAGCGCUUGCCUUGCAUGCAUGUGCAUGAGGCCUUGGGUUCGAUUCCUCAGUACCA